rnacentral:ncRNA from 1 species
GUGUUGUAUGAAAGGAGAGAAGGUCAGCACUACCCUUGACAAGGAUGGAAGAGGCCCUUGGGCCUGACAACAUGCAUAUGGUGUAAAAAAAAAAAAAAAAGAGUAUCUU